rnacentral:rRNA from 1 species
UCUAGAGAUCCUACGGGAGGCAGCAGUGGGGAAUAUUGGACAAUGGGCGCAAGCCUGAUCCAGCCAUGCCGCGUGGGUGAAGAAGGUCUUCGGAUUGUAAACCCCUUUCGGGAGGGAAGAUGGAGCGAGCAAUCGUUCGGACGGUACCUCCAGAAGCAGCCACGGCCAACUUCGUGCCAGCAGCCGCGGUAAUACGAAGGUGGCAAGCGUUGUUCGGAUUCACUGGGCGUACAGGGUGUGUAGGCGGUUUGGUAAGCCUUCUGUUAAAGCUUCGGGCCCAACCCGGAAAGCGCAGAGGGUACUGCCAGGCUAGAGGGUGGGAGAGGAGCGCGGAAUUCCCGGUGUAGCGGUGAAAUGCGUAGAGAUCGGGAGGAAGGCCGGUGGCGAAGGCGGCGCUCUGGAACAUACCUGACGCUGAGACACGAAAGCGUGGGGAGCAAACAGGAUUAGAUACCCCGGUAGUCCACGCCCUAAACUAUGGAUACUAAGUGUCGGCGGGUUACCGCCGGUGCCGCAGCUAACGCAUUAAGUAUCCCGCCUGGGAAGUACGGCCGCAAGGUUGAAACUCAAAGGAAUUGACGG